GAUGAACGCUGGCGGCGUGCCUAAUACAUGCAAGUCGAGCGAACAGACGAGGAGCUUGCUCCUCUGACGUUAGCGGCGGACGGGUGAGUAACACGUGGAUAACCUACCUAUAAGACUGGGAUAACUUCGGGAAACCGGAGCUAAUACCGGAUAAUAUAUUGAACCGCAUGGUUCAAUAGUGAAAGACGGUUUUGCUGUCACUUAUAGAUGGAUCCGCGCCGCAUUAGCUAGUUGGUAAGGUAACGGCUUACCAAGGCGACGAUGCGUAGCCGACCUGAGAGGGUGAUCGGCCACACAGGAACUGAGACACGGUCCAGACUCCUACGGGAGGCAGCAGUAGGGAAUCUUCCGCAAUGGGCGAAAGCCUGACGGAGCAACGCCGCGUGAGUGAUGAAGGUCUUCGAAUCGUAAAACUCUGUUAUUAGGGAAGAACAAAUGUGUAAGUAACUAUGCACGUCUUGACGGUACCUAAUCAGAAAGCCACGGCUAACUACGUG
rnacentral:rRNA from 1 species